GCAAAGUGAGUUCAGGGUGUUGAACACCAGCAUUAGAUGUGUUUUCAUGCACUUGAACAACUGCAACCCAGGAAGUUAUUUCUACGAGAACAGAUCUGUUUGCAAACUUUUUAUCUAGUCAGAAAAUCCACAACCACUGAAUCACAUUUCCUAUCAAAAAAACUUUUAGCAAACAUAAGCUACUCAACCAAAACUCAUCUUGUCUGACCAUUCCCAGAAGCGAGCGAGUGAUGCAGAAGAAUCUGAGCUACCUAUAGCUGCAAAUCCAAACCCAGAUCCAAUUUCCUCAUUGUGUACAAAUCACAAAGCUGUUGUCUGCUGUAAUCCAAGCAAUCAUUGCUUCCAGCUCUUUUAGCUCACCCGGCGGAAAGUCAUCUUUGCAUCUACCACAUUCAAGCCUUCCUGAGGGUUAUAGUCAGGAUCAGUCAGAUAACAAAUGCUUUCUGCUUUCUGAUGGGUCAGAUAAGAUGGACUCCAGGACCGAAUGGCUCCCUCUUGCAGUUAGUCAGGGGUUAGACAGUUAUCGCUGGCUUCAGGAAGGGCUAUUCUAGCCCAGAUUCCCCUAUCAGCAGCAACAAGGCACAGUGGGAACAACGUUGGCUGGCUAAGGAGGCUGGUGCCUAUGAGAAGCCAACAGGGAAGGGGGCCAGCUGGGAUCUUGUGCUUGCUCUGGGCAAAGGAGGUGCAAAGGGAGGGAGAAAACGAGAUGCUCUGAAGCAGGGAUUAAGGUUUACACAUGGGUUGUGUACACUGGCACAAAAUUGACAUUUACUAACAUAAAGGGGAACACUUCUGCCCUUCUAGGCUUAACAGCCUUUUCUAAAGCGAUGAUUGAAGGGGCCAGAAGACACCAAGCAGUCAACUGCGAUGACCACAGGCUCUGUACGAGCUCCACAACACUGAACGUCAGCACAAAGAUAGCUGUGGGACCUGGCUGUCAUGUGUCUGUGGUGGGUAUCACACAUGGGUGUUAAGAGGUGGGGAUUCAGGGUGUACUGGAUGAUGUCAGUGGGGAAAAAUUGCUCCUCCCUUGGCAGAGUGGCAGCACAAAGCAAUGUGAGACCCUGUGCACUCUCCUGAGUGCUUUGUAAGCAAAGCUGUGAUACAGUGAGAGCUGCCAGCCUGGCUUCCUUUCCCCAGAUGGGAUAAACCAUCCCCAGCGCUCCAUCCCGACCCAUGUACUGUCCAGUCCCAGCCAUUAGCCCUCUCUGCUGCUCCUCAGCAUGGGAGCCAAAGCAAACAUUCCCCUGCUAAUGAGACAGGCUUCCAGUGCCUGCUGAUGCCUGGUGCUCCCCAGCUCCCCCCAUCAUUGCUCACCUCGUUUACAUGUCUUCAUUUGCCAAGCACCGUCUGAACACUUUGUAGGCUGCCUUCUCCCCUGAGCUCCAGAGCUAUGAAAA